GUUGCGUUGCCGGUUUAGUGGCCCUCUGUUUUUUAUCAGCGCUCGUUCGGUCGCUCUUUGCAAUGCAACGCGCUUGGCCACUACCGCGGCACAAGUAAUGCGAGCGCUAGCUCCACUAGUUAGUAAGCAUGCUUUGCGUUUCUUUUUCUGCACUUGCUUGCCAUUAUAAAUGCUCCAACUCUACCUGCGCGACUCCGAAACGUGCGCUCUCUCUCUUUGCUUACCUUUCGGAGUUCGCUUUAGUAGUAUACACUCUAUCACAGCGAAGUUGCCUCUCGGUAAUGAAUUUUUUCUGCCACUUGGCUUCUUGUUAGCCAUUUGUUUUGCUGACUCUGGUCGCUGGCAUUUCAAACGAGCGACGACUGUUGACGCGUUUGCACGAGCGAAUCGGCGCGUACGCGUUUUCUAACCAAAAACAAAUUUCAGUUUUCGAGUUCGAGUCGAGUUUAUCGAGCGGAUUACAAAUACAAAGAAAUAAAUUGUUUGGCAAACAAAAUAAGAAAUCUUAGAAAAAAGAAUUGAAACGAAUAUCGCUGUACAAAUAAAUACUAGCACCCGCAUGUGCUGUGUUGUUAUUGUUUUUAAUAUUAUUGGCGUGCAGAUUUAAGCCUGAAGUCGAAGUCUGCAAAACAAAUCAUAAAUAAUCAGUAAAACAAAAACAACAAAGUGAAAAGUGCAUUCGGCAAUGAUAAACGGUCAUUUUAGGUUCAACAAAGCGCAUUUUGCAUAAAAAAGUGUCUCAAAAGUAAAUCAGCAUUUGCAGUGAAAUUGUGGAAAAAUAUUUGGUAAAAAGCAGUAAACUUAGUAAGCCAAAGAAUUUUUCAACUUUGCACUUUCGGUUACUCAACCGAACAGCAAAACCAAUAAAGAAAUACAAAUUUAAAAUUCAACGAAACUGGAUUCCGCCAUCGUGGAUACUAUCAGCCAUUUGAAAAUGGUCUUUGGUGGCCGUUUUCGCAUCAGAAGGUAAUUUGAAAAAUGCUAAUGAAAUAAGUGAAUGAGAUCAUAAAGGUAUUUGGUGUUAUUUUAGGAAAUUUGAAAAUUAAUUUUUGAAGAGUUCUAAAUUUUUAAAACCCAAAAUGAUUUAUGGGAAAUUAUUUUCACGAAAUUAAAAUAAGUAAAAUGUGAUUAUUAUUUGAAAAUAUUUUUGAACAUCCACUCAUCGAU